UACGGGGGGAGCAAGCGUUGUUCGGAUUUACUGGGCGUAAAGGGCGCGUAGGCGGCCACUGCAAGUCAGUUGUGAAAUCUCCGGGCUUAACCCGGAAAGGUCAACUGAUACUGCAGGGCUAGAGUGCAGAAGGGGCAACUGGAAUUCUCGGUGUAGCGGUGAAAUGCGUAGAUAUCAGGAGGAACACCGGUGGCGAAGGCGG
rnacentral:rRNA from 1 species